AUGUUUUCAAAAUUUCAUUCAUUUCCUCUCUCGGUUCUCUUUGUCCUCACCCUCCCCAUUCUCCCUCCUCCCGUUCCUCACUUUCUCCGGCGAUUUUCUUCCCCUUUUUCCGGCCAUACUCUCCGGGAAACUUUUCCAUCAGAGCCUAAAUACAAAUCCAUUUCCGGCAUCGUUGUUUUCAGGUUUUCGUCGUCGUUUCGGAGAGCGAAACUCUAG